GUUUUAUGUUCCAAGAUGACAUUUAUGAUAGGCUGCUCUUGGUUUUUGUGGAAGUUUCUAUGUGGGUUGGAUAUUAAAUGUUGUGAAGGAUGUGAGGUUUUUGCAUGGUGAAAUAUUGGUUUGUGAGAUCUUGGCUCAUGAGUGAAGUUGGACUCUUCGACGACUACAAGCCUCCUGCCCAUUGUAUCAAUACCUGACAACCCCAAUCUUUGUCGAAGGACUACACAUUCUGUGAGGGUUCUGCAACAAGAGCCAUUGGAGAAUGGGAGAAACAGAGUUUGUUCAAAUGUGAUUGGAGU
rnacentral:misc_RNA from 1 species